AUUGAGAAACAAAGGCUCUCUUAUCAUUUUUCUUCUUCUUUUUUCAAAAUAUAGCCCUGGGAGAAAGAUCCAGGUUAAUCCUUUCUUGACUGGAGGGCCCAGGACAUAAAGAGUCUAGAGUCAGUGGAACACGCAAAGCUCAUCCCCGCUGGCAAUGAGCUUUAGGGAGUCACUCAAGCCAGAAAAGGCAAUGGACUUCAAAUUCCGCUGUCUGUCCAGUUGAGAAGUAGCUGCCAUUUUGAACUAAAAAGAUAACUUUGAGGAUAAGAUCCACAUUCUGAGAUGAUGGAGCAAAAGGGGCACAAGACUAAGAAUCUGCAGUCUUUUAAAGCCCUUCCGACUAGAGAGGAAGACUCAAUUUGAUACUACUCAAUCAGUGAUCCAAUACUAAG